AGAGUUUGAUCCUGGCUCAGAACGAACGCUGGCGGCGCGUAUUAAGCAUGCAAGUCGAACGGGACUGUGGGGCUUCGGCUCUACAGGAGAGUGGCGAACGGGUGAGUAACACGUAGGUGAUCUGCCCUUGGGUGGGGAAUAGCCCAUGGAAACAUGGGGUAAUACCGCAUGAGGUCUUGGGGCUUUGGCCCCUGGAUGAAAGGAGCAAUUGCUUCGCCUGGGGAUGAGCCUGCGGUCCAUUAGCUAGUUGGUGUGGUAAGAGCGCACCAAGGCGACGACGGAUAGCCGGCCUGAGAGGGUGAACGGCCACACUGGGACUGAGACACGGCCCAGACUCCUACGGGAGGCAGCAGCUAAGAAUCUUCCGCAAUGGGGGGAACCCUGACGGAGCGACGCCGCGUGGGCGAAGAAGGCCGCAAGGUUGUAAAGCCCUUUUCUCGACGAAGAAUAAGGCGAGGAGUGGAAUGCCUCGCUGAUGACGUUAGUCGAGGAACAAGCCCCAGCCAAUUACGUGCCAGCAGCCGCGGUAACACGUAUGGGGCGAGCGUUGUUCGGAAUUACUGGGCGUAAAGGGUGCGCAGGCGGUUCAGCAAGCUUGGUGUUAAAGACCCCGGCCCAACCGGGGGGCUGCGCUGAGAACUGCUGGGCUGGAGUUCAGGAGGGGAAGCUGGAAUUCCUGGUGUAGGGGUGAAAUCUGUAGAGAUCAGGAAGAACACCGGUGGCGAAGGCGAGCUUCUGGCCAUGGACUGACGCUGAGGCACGAAAGCGUGGGGAGCGAACAGGAUUAGAUACCCUGGUAGUCCACGCUGUAAACGAUGUGCACUAGGUGUUGGGGCGAUGAAGCCUCGGUGCCGUAGCGAACGUGAUAAGUGCACCGCCUGGGGAGUAUGCUCGCAAGGGUGAAACUCAAAGGAAUUGACGGGGGCCCGCACAAGCGGUGGAGCAUGUGGUUUAAUUCGACGCAACGCGAAGAACCUUACCCAGGUUGGACAUGCUCGUGGUACGAACCUGAAAGGGCGAGGACUCUGAAAGGAGAGCGAGCUCAGGUGCUGCAUGGCUGUCGUCAGCUCGUGCCGUGAGGUGUUGGGUUAAGUCCCGCAACGAGCGUAACCCCUGUCUUCAGUUGCCAUCGGGUCAUGCCGAGCACUCUGGAGAAACUGCCCAGGAUAACGGGGAGGAAGGUGGGGAUGACGUCAAGUCAGCAUGGCCUUUAUGCCUGGGGCUACACACGUGCUACAAUGACCGGUACAAAGGGUUGCAAUCCCGUAAGGGGGAGCCAAUCUCAAAAAACCGGCCUCAGUUCAGAUUGAGGUCUGCAACUCGACCUCAUGAAGGUGGAAUCGCUAGUAAUCGCGGAUCAGCACGCCGCGGUGAAUACGUUCCCGGGCCUUGUACACACCGCCCGUCACACCACGAAAGUCAGCUGUACCAGAAGUCGCUGGCGCCAACCCGAAAGGGAGGCAGGUGCCCAAGGUAUGGUUGGUAAUUGGGGUGAAGGCGUAACAAGGUAACCA
rnacentral:rRNA from 1 species